GGAGACACAGCACCUCUGCUGGUGACGGGACAUUAUUACUUUUGGUACGCGCUGUGACACUUCAAACUCGUACCGUGAGUAAUAAUGCGCUGUCAGCAGCCCGGCACGGAGCGCGCCCG
rnacentral:pre_miRNA from 8 species